rnacentral:lncRNA from 1 species
UUCUGGAGGCUGGACUCGCCGAGUCCAUGGCUGAACUCGCCGAGUCCAUGCAGACUCGACGAGUCCAAGGCUGACUCGACGAGUCAACUCGUCAGAUAGGCGGAUUUUCGGGAUUUUUACCUAUUAUGACUUAGGAUAAUUGCCAUAAUUGUUUAAACUUAAUAAAAUUCUAAUUUUGUUAAUCCCUUAUGAUUAUCCUUGUCAAAAUAAAAGAUUUUGGUCAUCUAAUUAGAUAAUUGUUACCUUAUUUGAUAUAUGUUAAGUUAUGGAAAUUAUUUGAUCAUUAUCUUGCAAGAAUUUGAACUAGAUCUAAUUAGAUAACCACCAAUUAUAGUUAAUUGCCUUAUUUGAAUUAUGUGAUCUAGAAUAUUCUUGACAAAGUUUGGAAUAGUUUCAAAUUAAUCCCUUUAGGUUUUAUAUUUUAAAUUUGAACCCAAAAGUUUUGUUGUUUUGAAAUUUAAAUAGUUAAAACCCUAAUGUUUUGAAAAAGGUUUCAAAACUUGCCCUCAAGUUUUGGAAUUUAAAUUUUGAUUAAAUAGUUUAAUUUUGAUGUAUAUUUAAAUUCUAAACCCUAAUGUGUUGAAAUGUUUCAAAACUUGCCCUCAAGUUUUGGAAUUUAAAAGUUGAUUAAAAGUUUAAUUAGGAAUGUUAAAUUCUAAAACUCUAGUAUAGUUUUGAAAAAGUUCAAAUCACACCCUUAUGGUUUUAUUAAUUAAUUAAGGUGUAUAAUUAAAAGAGGUUUAAUAAAUCCAUAAAAGUUUAGGUUUACAAUUUAAUUGAAUUAAAAGUAUAAUUGUUAAAUUAGACCACCUAAUAUUUUAAAAGUAUAAAAUACACCCUAUACUAUAUAUAUAACAUUAAAAGUCUAACAUUAUAUAUAUGUAUGAGUAAAAGUCAGUCUUACCGUUAGUAGGCCUCAUUCACGAAGCUGGUCUAUAAGGGGUGUUUAAGGAAAUUGCCUAUAAAAUGGCGAUUGAAUGGGUAUCCACUCUUACCCACCGCACUCUUGACUAGUGGAGGGUCGUUAGCCGAACGGGUAGGAUAGGACGAAACCUUCCAUUAUAAGUAUAAUGAAUUAUUAAAGUAACUAAAUGUUUUUAUAAAAUUCCCAAUCUUAGUUACUUAGGCAAAAGUGAAUUGAUGCAAUUCCAUGAAAUUACACUUUGUGCCCUUGCGAAGACGUUAGUGGAGCGUGUGUGGUUUACCGGCACACUAAAUGGUUCUAAGCAAAGGUAGCAAAGGGUGACUCAAUGUUUGUCAUAGUUCGGUGGAGCGUGUGUGGUUUACCGGCACAUCGAAUAGGUGACUGUAACAUGUGAGGGCACCAUGUAAGUUUGCAUGGUUAUUCACACCCGCUUUGUGAUCCUCGGCAUCCCAGUCACAAACAAGAGGGGCAUAUCGAGAUUUAAACAUGCCAUUGAAAGUUCAAUGAAUCUCAAAGGAUCUAGGAGUUUUCAUAGAUUUAAAACUUAAAUUUCUUUUUCGUUUUUCAUGGUGGAAAUUAGUGAAUCGUCAUUCACU